UACGUAGGAUGCUAGCGUUGUCCGGAUUUACUGGGCGUAAAGCGCGCGCAGGCGGCACUGUAAGUAAGGUGUGAAAUAUCCCUGCUCAACGGGGAGGGUGCACUUUAGACUGCAGAGCUAGAGGACGGUAGAGGGGGGUGGAAUUGCUGGUGUAGCGGUGAAAUGCGUAGAGAUCAGCAGGAACACCCAUGGCGAAGGCGGCCCCCUGGGCCGAACCUGACGCUGAGGCGCGAAGGCUAGGGGAGCGAACGGG
rnacentral:rRNA from 1 species